AGCGAACGCUGGCGGCAGGCUUAACACAUGCAAGUCGAACGCAUCCUCCGGGGUGAGUGGCAGACGGGUGUGUAACAUGUGGGAACGUUCCCUUCGACAUGGGAUACCUUUGGGAAACUGGAGCUAAUACCGGAUACGCCCUUCUGGGGAAAGGUUUACUGUAGAAGGAUAGGCCCGCGUCCGUUUAGCUUGUUGGUGGGGUAACGGCCUACCAAGGCGAGGAUCAGUAGCUGGUCUGAGAGGAUGAUCAGCCACACUGAGACUAUGACACGGCCCAGACUCCUACAGAAGGCGGCAGUGGGGAAUAUUGCACAAUGGGCGCAAGGCUGAUCCAGCCAUGCCGCGUGAGUGAUGAAGGCCUUAGAGAAGUAAAGCUCUUUUGUCCGGGACGAUAAUGACGGUACCGGAAGAAUAAGCCCCGGCUAACUUCGUG
rnacentral:rRNA from 1 species